UACAGAGGGAGCGAGCGUUGUGCGGAAUCACUGGGCGUAAAGGGCGCGUAGGCGGCUUUUCAAGCGUGCGGUGAAAGCUCGGGGCUUAACUCCGAGUCUGCCGUGCGAACUGGGAGGCUUGAGUCUGGUAGAGGUCGAUGGAAUUCCGGGUGUAGCGGUGGAAUGCGUAGAGAUCCGGAAGAACACCGGUGGCGAAGGCGGUCGACGGGGUCAGUACUGACUAUGAGGCGCGACAGCGUGGGGAGCAAACAGG
rnacentral:rRNA from 1 species